AUUCCCUAGUAGCGGCGAGCGAAGCGGGAAGAGCUCAAAUUUAUAAUCUGGCACCUUCGGUGUCCGAGUUGUAAUCUCUAGAAGUGUUUUCCGCGUUGGACCGCACACAAGUCUGUUGGAAUACAGCGGCAUAGUGGUGAAACCCCCGUAUAUGGUGCGGACGCCCAGCGCUUUGUGAUACACUUUCAAUGAGUCGAGUUGUUUGGGAAUGCAGCUCAAAUUGGGUGGUAAAUUCCAUCUAAAGCUAAAUAUUGGCGAGAGACCGAUAGCGAACAAGUACCGUGAGGGAAAGAUGAAAAGCACUUUGGAAAGAGAGUUAACAGUACGUGAAAUUGUUGGAAGGGAAACGCUUGAAGUCAGACUUGCUUGCCGGAGCUUGCUUCGGUUUGCAGGCCAGCAUCAGUUUUCCGGGGUGGAUAAUGACGGUUUGAAGGUAGCAGUCUCGGCUGUGUUAUAGCUUUCCGUUGGAUACAUCCUGGGGGACUGAGGAACGCAGCGUGCUUUUUGCGAAAGACUCGUCUUUUUCACGCUUAGGAUGCUGGUGGAAUGGCUUUAAACGACCCGUCUUGAAACACGGACCAC
rnacentral:rRNA from 1 species